rnacentral:lncRNA from 1 species
AAUCUCUCUUUGAGACAUGUUUGGUUAUGUUGUGCAUCAAUUGUAAAAGAUUCUAUCUCUCUAUUCUUCAUUCAUUCCAAGUAUCUUCAUUCAGUUCCCCUUCAGAAUGCACACCAUCUUAAGAACUCGAAUUCAUCUUUGUUUCCAUUGUUGAGAAUUGAAUUUAAGGAGGGAACUUGUGACUCAUUCUUGAGCUUGAAGAAUCAGUAUUGGUGCUGAAAUUAGAGGGUGUUGACUGUGAAAUUGAUUGAAAUAUGAGAGUGAAAGUCAUCCUUCACAUAUGGAAAUUGCACUUACAGUUCUCCUAGC